AUUUAUAUAGUAUAAUAAUUAUACUUGACUUCCAAUCAAAAGAUCUAAUAACUUAGUAUAAAUA
rnacentral:tRNA from 1 species